rnacentral:rRNA from 1 species
GAUGAACGCUGGCGGCGUGCCUAAUACAUGCAAGUCGAGCGAACAGACGAGGAGCUUGCUCCUCUGACGUUAGCGGCGGACGGGUGAGUAACACGUGGAUAACCUACCUAUAAGACUGGGAUAACUUCGGGAAGCCGGAGCUAAUACCGGAUAAUAUAUUGAACCGCAUGGUUCAAUAGUGAAAGACGGUUUUGCUGUCACUUAUAGAUGGAUCCGCGCCGCAUUAGCUAGUUGGUAAGGUAACGGCUUACCAAGGCGACGAUGCGUAGCCGACCUGAGAGGGUGAUCCGCCACACUGGAACUGAGACACGGUCCAGACUCCUACGGGAGGCAGCAGUAGGGAAUCUUCCGCAAUGGGCGAAAGCCUGACGGAGCAACGCCGCGUGAGUGAUGAAGGUCUUCGGAUCGUAAAACUCUGUUAUUAGGGAAGAACAAAUGUGUAAGUAACUAUGCACGUCUUGACGGUACCUAAUCAGAAAGCCACGGCUAACUACGUG